rnacentral:lncRNA from 1 species
GUUUUUGGUUAUUAUCUUGAAUACUAUUAUAGAUAGAGAUAAACUUUAAACUGCAAUAAUGUUCAGCAAAGUAAGAUCUACAAUUAAGUGAACAUGACCAAAAUGGUCAGUUGACCUCUUAAGGAGUUAUUGCCCUGUAUAUUCAUUUUUAAACAAUUUUCAUUAGUUUUUACAAAAUAUUUUCCUCUGGAACUAAAGGGCCAAGUUCAUUAUAGAAAGACAAAAUUGUAAGUAGCAAGAAUGUUUGGUAAAGCAAGAUCUCGAAACACAUCAACAUCACCAAAAC